CACUUGAGAGAACUCUUUCUCGCCUCUUUUUUCGCCCAAAAUAUCAUCACUUUUCUCAAUGUGUGUGUGUGCAAAUCCUCAAAAGUGUGUAUUAUCGAUUUUUGACAACUCUUAACACGAGCACCGAGGAUAACCAU
ensembl:ncRNA F22B3.16 ncRNA